rnacentral:rRNA from 1 species
CACGUAGGGUGCGAGCGUUGUCCGGAAUUAUUGGGCGUAAAGAGCUCGUAGGCGGUGUGUCGCGUCGGCCGUGAAAACCUGCAGCUUAACUGUGGGCUUGCGGUCGAUACGGGCAUCACUGGAGUUCGGCAGGGGGAGACUGGAAUUCCUGGUGUAGCGGUGAAAUGCGCAGAUAUCAGGAGGAACACCGGUGGCGAAGGCGGGUCUCUGGGCCGAUACUGACGCUGGAGGAGCG